rnacentral:rRNA from 1 species
AGUGAACGCUGGCGGUAGGCCUAACACAUGCAAGUCGAACGGCAGCACAGUAAGAGCUUGCUCUUACGGGUGGCGAGUGGCGGACGGGUGAGGAAUACAUCGGAAUCUACUUUUUCGUGGGGGAUAACGUAGGGAAACUUACGCUAAUACCGCAUACGACCUACGGGUGAAAGCAGGGGAUCUUCGGACCUUGCGCGAUCGAAUGAGCCGAUGUCGGAUUAGCUAGUUGGCGGGGUAAAGGCCCACCAAGGCGACGAUCCGUAGCUGGUCUGAGAGGAUGAUCAGCCACACUGGAACUGAGACACGGUCCAGACUCCUACGGGAGGCAGCAGUGGGGAAUAUUGGACAAAGGGCGCAAGCCUGAUCCAGCCAUACCGCGUGGGUGAGGAAGGCCUUCGGGUUGUAAAGCCCUUUUGUUGGGAAAGAAAAGCAGCAGGUUAAUACCCCGCUGUUCUGACGGUACCCAAAGAAUAAGCACCGGCUAACUUCGUG